rnacentral:rRNA from 1 species
GUACUUACUCCUACGGGAGGCAGCAGUGGGGAAUUUUGGACAAUGGGGGCAACCCUGAUGCAGCGACGCCGCGUGGGGGAUGACGGCCUUCGGGUUGUAAACCCCUUUCAGUAGGGAAGAAGCGAGAGUGACGGUACCUGCAGAAGAAGCGCCGGCUAACUACGUGCCAGCAGCCGCGGUAAUACAUAGGGCGCAAGCGUUGUCCGGAAUUAUUGGGCGUAAAGAGCUUGUAGGUGGCUUGUCGCGUCUGCCGUGAAAACCCGAGGCUCAACCUCGGGCGUGCGGUGGGUACGGGCAGGCUAGAGUGUGGUAGGGGAGACUGGAACUCCUGGUGUAGCGGUGAAAUGCGCAGAUAUCAGGAAGAACACCGAUGGCGAAGGCAGGUCUCUGGGCCAUUACUGACACUGAGAAGCGAAAGCAUGGGUAGCGAACAGGAUUAGAAACCCCAGUAGUCCAGGCAU